CCCUACGGGGCGCAGCAGUGGGGAAUAUUGCACAAUGGGGGAAACCCUGAUGCAGCGACGCCGCGUGAGUGAAGAAGUAUUUCGGUAUGUAAAGCUCUAUCAGCAGGGAAGAAAAAAGACGGUACCUGACUAAGAAGCCCCGGCUAACUACGUGCCAGCAGCCGCGGUAAUACGUAGGGGGCAAGCGUUAUCCGGAUUUACUGGGUGUAAAGGGAGCGUAGACGGCAGUGCAAGUCUGAAGUGAAAGGCAAGGGCUCAACCUUUGGACUGCUUUGGAAACUGUGCUGCUAGAGGGUCGGAGAGGG
rnacentral:rRNA from 1 species